rnacentral:rRNA from 1 species
AUGAACGCUAGCUACAGGCUUAACACAUGCAAGUCGAGGGGCAGCAUGGUCUUAGCUUGCUAAGGCCGAUGGCGACCGGCGCACGGGUGAGUAACACGUAUCCAACCUGCCGUCUACUCUUGGACAGCCUUCUGAAAGGAAGAUUAAUACAAGAUGGCAUCAUGAGUCCACAUGUUCACAUGAUUAAAGGUAUUCCGGUAGACGAUGGGGAUGCGUUCCAUUAGAUAGUAGGCGGGGUAACGGCCCACCUAGUCUUCGAUGGAUAGGGGUUCUGAGAGGAAGGUCCCCCACAUUGGAACUGAGACACGGUCCAAACUCCUACGGGAGGCAGCAGUGAGGAAUAUUGGUCAAUGGGCGAGAGCCUGAACCAGCCAAGUAGCGUGAAGGAUGACUGCCCUAUGGGUUGUAAACUUCUUUUAUAAAGGAAUAAAGUCGGGUAUGGAUACCCGUUUGCAUGUACUUUAUGAAUAAGGAUCGGCUAACUCCGUGCCAGCAGCCGCGGUAAUACGGAGGAUCCGAGCGUUAUCCGGAUUUAUUGGGUUUAAAGGGAGCGUAGAUGGAUGUUUAAGUCAGUUGUGAAAGUUUGCGGCUCAACCGUAAAAUUGCAGUUGAUACUGGAUAUCUUGAGUGCAGUUGAGGCAGGCGGAAUUCGUGGUGUAGCGGUGAAAUGCUUAGAUAUCACGAAGAACUCCGAUUGCGAAGGCAGCCUGCUAAGCUGCAACUGACAUUGAGGCUCGAAAGUGUGGGUAUCAAACAGGAUUAGAUACCCUGGUAGUCCACACGGUAAACGAUGAAUACUCGCUGUUUGCGAUAUACAGCAAGCGGCCAAGCGAAAGCGUUAAGUAUUCCACCUGGGGAGUACGCCGGCAACGGUGAAACUCAAAGGAAUUGACGGGGGCCCGCACAAGCGGAGGAACAUGUGGUUUAAUUCGAUGAUACGCGAGGAACCUUACCCGGGCUUGAAUUGCAGAGGAAGGAUUUGGAGACAAUGACGCCCUUCGGGGCCUCUGUGAAGGUGCUGCAUGGUUGUCGUCAGCUCGUGCCGUGAGGUGUCGGCUUAAGUGCCAUAACGAGCGCAACCCUUGUUGUCAGUUACUAACAGGUUCCGCUGAGGACUCUGACAAGACUGCCAUCGUAAGAUGUGAGGAAGGUGGGGAUGACGUCAAAUCAGCACGGCCCUUACGUCCGGGGCUACACACGUGUUACAAUGGGGGGUACAGAGGGCCGCUACCACGCGAGUGGAUGCCAAUCCCAAAAACCUCUCUCAGUUCGGACUGGAGUCUGCAACCCGACUCCACGAAGCUGGAUUCGCUAGUAAUCGCGCAUCAGCCACGGCGCGGUGAAUACGUUCCCGGGCCUUGUACACACCGCCCGUCAAGCCAUGGGAGCCGGGGGUACCUGAAGUGCGUAACCGCGAGGAGCGCCCUAGGGUAAAACUGGUGACUGGGGCU